CCAAUGUGGUCAUCCAUUGAGGUUACUAGUGGCUCUGUCCAAGUGGUAUUUGGGAGCAUAGCUCUAAGUGCAGUGGUGUACAAUCCCCUUCCACAGUGUUGUAGAGCAAGUCCUGUCUCUGGUUCUAGAGCUGACGAGGACAGCAUCCUAUAUAUUUCUAUUUUUUAUAACUUCUCAGUUAAUUGGUAGUGACUGAGGAGAAACCAUGCAGAGUGCAACU
rfam:Testudo graeca T17 snoRNA gene